GACGAACGCUGGCGGCGUGCUUAACACAUGCAAGUCGAACGGAAAGGCCUCUUUCGGGGGGUACUCGAGUGGCGAACGGGUGAUUAACACGUUAGUAACCUGCCCUUGACUUUGGGUUAACUUCAGGAAACUGGGGCUAAUACCGGAUAGGAGCUCCUGCUGCCUGGUGGGGGUUGGAAAGUUUCGGCGGUUGGGGAUGGACUCGCGGCUUAUCAGCUUGUUGGUGGGGUAGUGGCUUACCAAGGCUUUGACGGGUAGCCGGCCUGAGAGGGUGACCGGCCACAAUGGGACUGAGAUACGGCCCAGACUCCUACGGGAGGCAGCAGUGGGGAAUAUUGCACAAUGGGUGGAAGCCUGAUGCAGCAACGCCGUGUGCGGGAUGACGGACUUCGGGUUGUAAACCGCUUUCGCUCAUGACGAAGCUUUGUGUGACGGUAGUGGGUAAAGAAGCACCGGCUAACUACGUG
rnacentral:rRNA from 1 species